CCUACGGGAGGCAGCAGUGAGGAAUAUUGGUCAAUGGACGAGAGUCUGAACCAGCCAAGUAGCGUGAAGGAUGACUGCCCUAUAGGUUGUAAACUUCUUUUAUAAAGGAAUAAAACGAGGCACGUGUGCCUUUUUUCAUGUACUUUAUGAAUAAGGAUCGGCUAACUCCGUGCCAGCAGCCGCGGUAAUACGGAGGAUCCGAGCGUUAUCCGGAUUUAUUGGGUUUAAAGGGAGCGUAGAUGGGUUGUUAAGUCAGUUGUGAAAGUUUGCGGCUCAACCGUAAGAUUGCAAUUGAUACUGGCAGUCUUGAGUACAGUUGAGGUAGGCGGAAUUCGUGGUGUAGCGGUGAAAUGCUUAGAUAUCACGAAGAACCCCGAUUGCGAAGGCAGCUUACUAAACUGUGACUGACAUUGAUGCUCGAAAGUGUGGGUAUCAAACAGGAUUAGAUACCCUGGUAGUC
rnacentral:rRNA from 1 species